rnacentral:rRNA from 1 species
AUGAUGUUCUCGAAUCCCACGAAUUGUUUCCCGGAUAGGGAUAGAUCCAUGGUACAUUCUGCAACUGCUAUGAUGCAGAUUUUCUCGCUGAAAUUGGAAAAGGCUAGUACCAACAUCGGCUUGGUACAAUUAUAUGGAUAUAUAGCAGUGCGUGAUCGUUAUGAUUCAUUGCUUAAUUAUGUCUUCAAUCGUAGCAGAGAUGAUCCAAUCAUUGUGGAGCAGGUGCACAUUUUUACAUAUAUAUGCAAUUACAUUUGA